UGUGUGGCCUUUCUGCAGAGCUUUCCCAAUCCCUGUGAGUGCCCCAGGCCAGGCUGGACCAGCCUUGGAGCCCCCCGGGCCAGUGGGAGCUGUCCCUGCCGUGGCAGGGGUGGCACUGGGUGCUUUUUAAUCUUCUGCCCACCCAAAUCAUUCCAUGAUUCCUGUAAACGCUCUGGGAGCUGAUUUUCCAGCUGCUGUUGAAGCUGAUUUUCCAGCUGCCCAUCCAACCAUGGGUGCUCACAGGGAUCCAGGGGCAGCCCCAGCUGCUCUGGGGCCUCCUCAUCCUCCCAGGGCAGGAUUUCUUCUGAGAGAAAAGCUUUUUCAGGCUUUUUCUCCUGAGCUCCUGCUCUCCUGAGCUCCUGCUCUCCUGAGCUCCUGCUCUCCUGCUCUCCUCAGCUCCUCUCCUGAGCUCCUCUCCUGAGCUCCUGCUGCCCUGAGCUGCUGCUCUUCUGAGCUCCUGCUGUCCUGAGCUGAUGCUCUCCUCAGCUCCUCUCCUGAGCUCCUGCUCUCCUGAGCUGAUGCUCUUCUGAGCUGAUGCUCUCCUGCUCUCCUCAGCUCCUGCUCUCCUCAGCUCCUGCUCUCCUCAGCUCCUGCUCUCCUGCUGUCCUGACCUGCUGCUCUCCACAUUUCCAGCUGAACUCGACUCAUCCCCGUUCCUGCCCCGUUGUUUCUCCGCGCUGGCAGCGCUCAGCAGCCUCCCCAUCACCCAAACCCCUGUCUCCCCAGCAGGGUACUCACAGCAUGGCGAUGCCCCAGUGCUUGCCAGCUCUCUCCCCAGCAGCCUGGAAGCCCGAGAGGCCGAUGAGGGCCACGGUGGGGGUGAUGGUCAGGGGGCCGAUGUAGCGCAGCAGAGCCCCGGGCAGCCCCAGCAGCCCGAUCACCACCUCGAUCAGCGACGACAUGAUGAUGGCACCUUGGAUCUGAACACACAACAGGGCAGAGAGGCAGCUCAGUCCCACCUGACAGGAAAUCUGCUUUUCUGCUCUGGAUUACAAACUGCAGUUAAAAGAAUUCAGUGACACAGAAGAACUCAGCAAAAAAAAAAAAAAUUUUUUUUUUUUUAGUUUUUUUUUUUCCCGUCAUAAAACAGCUCAUUAUGUUUAAGUGACUUAAGCAUAACACUUAUGGUUUUCUCCACAAAACUAUUACACAACAGACCAGUGGGGCCAGUCUGGAAGCUGUGUGGAAAGCACAUCACACUGUCAGACAGGAGACCUGGGGUCCAGGCUAACCUUUCAGCUCUCAGAUCGAACGGCAAGGGUUGGUGCGCCACGAGGUGAUGCUCCUAGCUCCUAGGGGCAGAGUGUGUGCUGCAUUGGUCACAAGUGCUCCUUAGAAGCUGGAUUAGAGCAGCGUUGUGGUCUCAGGAGACUGUCAGCCCUCUUGGCUGCAGGGCUCUUGGCAGGAUGUAGCUAUGGUUUGAACAUGGGGAAGAGAGAGGGGUUGUUUUUAAUUAAGAAAAAGUUGGCAGCCCAAAGCAACGGGAUGGGAGAUCAAUUCCAUGACACACGCCUUCAUUUGGACUACUCUACCUGCCACCCUGGCGUGGCACAGCCCUCAGCCUGCCCUGCAGGGCACCACCACCUCACACUGCGAGUGGAGAACGACUUUCCAGGGAUUCCACAAAGUCUCAACGAGUCUCCAAAUUAAAGACACUUGGGAAGGAACCAGAUUCCCUAACUGCGGAUUCACCUUCCAGGGGCCAGCACAGCAGGCAAGAGGCCUGGCAGCAGCUGGACACAGAUGGAAAUGAGGAGUUUUCAUCUCACUGCAGCAGCUCACUGCACAGCUUUUUGGGAUGUGGGAACUAACUCCUGGUAUUUGCUGUCCAGCAGUGAACAGG
ensembl:lncRNA